rnacentral:rRNA from 1 species
AUUGAACGCUGGCGGCAGGCCUAACACAUGCAAGUCGAGCGCGCGGCGGACAGGUGAGUAAUGUUUGGGAAAAUCUCUGAUGGAGGGGGAUAACUAUUCGCACCGCUUGCUAAAAUCGUCUACACUCCGCUGUGCCCACAUGGGAAUAGCUAGUAGGUGGGGUAAUGGCUCACCUAGGCGACGAUCCCUAGCUGGUCUGAGAGGGUGACGAGCCACCCUGGAGCUGAGACACGGUCCAGACUCCUACGGUAGGCAGCAGUGGGGAAUAGUGCACAAUAGGGGCAAGCCUGAUACAGCCAUGCCACGUGUGUGAAGAAGGCUUGCGGGUUGUAAAGCACUUGCAGCUGGGAGGCGUUACCCGCAGAAGAAGCACCGGCUAACUCCGUGCCAGCAGCCGCGGUAAUAC